UACGGAGGGGGCUAGCGUUGUUCGGAAUUACUGGGCGUAAAGCGCGCGUAGGCGGCCUUGUCAGUCAGGCGUGAAAGCCCCGGGCUCAACCUGGGAACUGCGCUUGAUACUGCAAGGCUUGAGUUCCGGAGAGGAUGGUGGAAUUCCCAGUGUAGAGGUGAAAUUCGUAGAUAUUGGGAAGAACACCGGUGGCGAAGGCGGCCAUCUGGACGGACACUGACGCUGAGGCGCGAAAGCGUGGGGAGCAAACAGG
rnacentral:rRNA from 1 species